CCAAUCUUGCCAAGCCUUUUAUAUUUGAUUAAAACUAUUUUCAUUGCCUUUUAGUGUCAUUAUGCUCAAAAGAUAACUAUUCAAUCAAAACAACUUGGUUACAUUUUAAACUUAUAACAAUUGGAAUUAUAGAACAGCAGUAAUAACAACCAAUCUUUGUGGAUACGAUAUAAAAAUAUUUGCCGAAAAUAUACUUUUUCAACACCCUCCAAC
rnacentral:lncRNA from 1 species